GAUGAACGCUGGCGGCGUGCCUAAUACAUGCAAGUCGAGCGAACAGACGAGGAGCUUGCUCCUCUGACGUUAGCGGCGGACGGGUGAGUAACACGUGGAUAACCUACCUAUAAGACUGGGAUAACUUCGGGAAACCGGAGCUAGUACCGGAUAAUAUGUUGAAUCGCAUGGUUCAACAGUGAAAGACGGUCUUGCUGUCACUUAUAGAUGGAUCCGCGCCGCAUUAGCUAGUUGGUAAGGUAACGGCUUACCAAGGCAACGAUGCGUAGCCGACCUGAGAGGGUGAUCGGCCACACUGGAACUGAGACACGGUCCAGACUCCUACGGGAGGCAGCAGUAGGGAAUCUUCCGCAAAGGGCGAAAGCCUGACGGAGCAACGCCGCGUGAGUGAAGAAGGUCUUCGGAUCGUAAAACUCUGUUAUUAGGGAAGAACAAAUGUGUAAGUAACUAUGCACGUCUUGACGGUACCUAAUCAGAAAGCCACGGCUAACUACGUG
rnacentral:rRNA from 1 species